rnacentral:lncRNA from 1 species
GCCUUCAAGCUUCCAAGUGCUCAAGUGUCCUAGCUUUCCAAAAGCUCUUCAACUUCUUCUUCUAAUCUUCUUGUUCAUCUCUACAAGUAAGAAGUGUUGUUUGCUUAAAUAUUCCACUCCUCUAAUCAUCUCUUGUGUGUGUCCACUUUGGUUGAGAGGGUUGUCUCAAUAUCACCAAAGUGUGAGAGAAGGUUAUUGAACUAAAC